rnacentral:lncRNA from 1 species
CUAGCUGGAUGUUACCAUGAAGUGCUCAGUAGACAUGCCUAGUGCUUGUUGGAUUAAAUGUCUUUAUGAGGUCCCAUUUCAUUGAUGGAGAGUAGUUGCUUGCUUCUAGUUCAAGCUGUGUAUCUGUCCUCUAUGGGUUAUGUAGAAGGGGGAUGACAAAAGAAAAUGUCUUUUAUAUGUCAAAUGCCUGCCCAACUACACGGGGACUUAAUUUGAUAGUCCAUGUAGAAUUGGUUUAAUUGUUCAAAGUAUAAUCUUAAGUUAUCCCUUAACAUUUCACAAUAUCUUUUUAACAAGUGAAAGCAGCUCUGAGUCAGUUUCUGGUGCCUUUUCUUCGUCAAGGGACCACAAUUCAGUAAAGACUAGGUGAGAAAACCUGUUAACAACCAUCCUUUUCUAAGAAAAAAAGUCGUGAUUUCUUUAAUGGUUGAUAGGGUGAGAGAUGCCGAACUGUUGGGAUAAAAAUUGUUGAUUUUAAUUGCUUCUAAAUUGAUGCAUUUACAUUGCAUCCUUUGGGAGACUGGACAUGUUUAUGCUUCUAAUUAGCUUUAAAUUUCUGUCUUAGAGGAGGUCUUCUGAAAUUUGAAGUCCUAAUUUCCAAACAAUCAUUUUCUAGGUGGAUGUCUGUAUGUCUCGAACUUAUAUGCUUCAAAUGAGGUGGCUUCUUGCUCUUUGGCCUUUUUGCAGUUUUUUUUUUCUUUUCUUUUCUUUUACAACAUUUGAAUGAAUUAGACCAUCUUUUCACUCAGUGCAUCCAUGUAGACGGAGUAAUGCUCCUUAUUAUGGCCUAUACAAAUUUGUUUUCUGCAGUUCCAAGAACAAUAAAUGAAAAGUCCAAAUG